CCUACGGGAGGCAGCAGUAAGGAAUAUUGGUCAAUGGACGCAAGUCUGAACCAGCCAUGCCGCGUGAAGGAUGAAGGUCCUCUGGAUUGUAAACUUCUUUUAUAUGGGACGAAACCCGGGUAUUCCUACCCGAUUGACGGUACCAUAGGAAUAAGCACCGGCUAACUCCGUGCCAGCAGCCGCGGUAAUACGGAGGGUGCAAGCGUUAUCCGGAUUCACUGGGUUUAAAGGGUGCGUAGGAGGGCAGGUAAGUCAGUGGUGAAAUCUUCGAGCUUAACUCGGAAACUGCCGUUGAUACUAUCUGUCUUGAAUACCGUGGAGGUGAGCGGAAUAUGUCAUGUAGCGGUGAAAUGCUUAGAUAUGACAUAGAACACCGAUUGCGAAGGCAGCUCACUACACGAAUAUUGACUCUGAGGCACGAAAGCGUGGGGAUCAAACAGGAUUAGAUACCCUGGUAGUCCACGCCCUAAACUAUGGAUACUCGACAUACGCGAUACACUGUGUGUGUCUGAGCGAAAGCAUUAAGUAUCCCACCUGGGAAGUACGACCGCAAGGUUGAAACUCAAAGGAAUUGACGG
rnacentral:rRNA from 1 species